AAUAGAUACCCAGGUAGUCCACGCCGUAAACGAUGGAUGCUAGCCGUUGGCAGGCUUGCCUGUCAGUGGCGCAGCUAACGCAUUAAGCAUCCCGCCUGGGGAGUACGGUCGCAAGAUUAAAACUCAAAGGAAUUGACGGGGGGCCCGCACAAGCGGUGGAGCAUGUGGUUUAAUUCGAGGCAACGCGAAGAACCUUACCAGCCCUUGACUUCCCGAUCGGGGCUCCAGAGACGGAGCUCUUCAAUUGGUCGGUGACAGGUGCUGCAUGGCUGUCGUCAGCUCGUGUCGUGAGAUGUUGGGUUAAGUCCCGCAACGGGCGCAACCCUGCCAUUAGUUGCCACCAUUAAAGUUGGGCACUCUAGUGGGGACUGCCGGUGAUAAGGCCGGGAGGAAGGUGGGGGAUGACGUCAAGUCAUCAUGGCCCUUACGGGCUGGGCUACACACGUGCUACAAUGGCAGUGACAAUGGGCAGCCACUCCGCGAGGAGGAGCUAAUCCCAAAAAGCUGUCUCAGUUCGGAUUG
rnacentral:rRNA from 1 species